rnacentral:rRNA from 1 species
GUACACACCGCCCGUCACACCAUGGGAGUGGAAUCCGCCAGAAGUGGGUAGCCUAACCGCAAGGAGGGCGCUUACCACGGUAGGUUUCAUGACUGGGGUGAAGUCGUAACAAGGUAGCCGUAGGUGAACCUGCAGAAGGAUCA